ACUUUAAAAUCAGAGAUAAACAUUCUCCUUGUUAUUUCCGACUUUCUCUUCUCUCAAAACCGUUGUUUUUUUCCCAACCAUUUCACACAGACAAGAAACUGUUGAUUUGUGAAGAAAAAUUUGACUGGAACUCGCUCUCCGUUUACGAUUAAGGAUUUUGAAACGCAAAGAGUACGAAGAAAAGUUGUGGCAGUAAGCCGGGAGAGCUCACGGAAGCAUUAGCGCUAUGAAAGUUGGUAUUCUCAUACUUUUUGAUGUGUAUAUCACGGGGUACCUGGGAGUUUAGUUUGUUUGCCUUGAUCCCAUAUCAUUUUGUAUAUUUUGCUGUUAUCAUUGGGAUUUUGGACAUGAUCUCAAUAUGGUCUGUAACAAAAAAAAACUUGUCUGUUUCGUAUACAAUGGUUUUGGUCUUGGGUAUUAAGUGCUUGUCUAAUUUUGUUAAAACUCUUGAACUUGAUUAAUUUUGCUGCUUAUAGUUUAGUUUACUGUAUUUUAUGUACAAUAUGUCUUUUACCUUGACAUGAAUUUACUAAGUUAUCAAGGGUGUUAGCCUAAGUUUUUAAUUUCCA